CCUACGGGUUGCACCAGUGGGGAAUAUUGCACAAUGGGCGAAAGCCUGAUGCAGCGACGCCGCGUGAGGGAUGACGGCCUUCGGGUUGUAAACCUCUUUCAGCACGGAAGAAGCGAAAGUGACGGUACGUGCAGAAGAAGCGCCGGCUAACUACGUGCCAGCAGCCGCGGUAAUACGUAGGGCGCAAGCGUUGUCCGGAAUUAUUGGGCGUAAAGAGCUCGUAGGCGGUUUGUCGCGUCUGCUGUGAAAGCCCGGGGCUUAACCCCGGGUGUGCAGUGGGUACGGGCAGACUUGAGUGCAGUAGGGGAGACUGGAAUUCCUGGUGUAGCGGUGAAAUGCGCAGAUAUCAGGAGGAACACCGAUGGCGAAGGCGACUCUCUGGUCUGUAACUGACGCUGAGGAGCGAAAGCGUGGGGAGCGAACAGGAUUAGAUACCCUGGUAGUC
rnacentral:rRNA from 1 species